CAGCAGCCGCGGGAAUACGUAGGGUGCAAGCGUUAAUCGGAAUUACUGGGCGUAAAGCGUGCGCAGGCGGUUUGUUAAGACGGAUGUGAAAUCCCCGGGCUCAACCUGGGAACUGCAUUCGUGACUGGCAAGCUAGAGUAUGGCAGAGGGGGGUGGAAUUCCACGUGUAGCAGUGAAAUGCGUAGAGAUGUGGAGGAACACCGAUGGCGAAGGCAGCCCCCUGGGCCAAUACUGACGCUCAUGCACGAAAGCGUGGGGAGCAAACAGGAUUAGAUACCCCUGUAGUCCCUGUCUCUUAUAC
rnacentral:rRNA from 1 species